UUAGUGUAAGUGGAUUCCUCCCCUUAAUAAAUUAUAGCACAUAGAUUUUGAGAUAUAAUGAAGAUUUCAAAUAUUGAAGCGCACACAAUAUUAUUUUAAGUUCGAUUCUCAUUAUUUGUAGCUGCGACGUGUGAAUCCCACUCUCGUUAUAUUUUUAUACCAGUGAAAACCGGAACCAGUCAAUUGUUACUGGAUAAAUUUUUUAAGAUGAAUUUUUUCUAUACAAGUGUUGGUAUUCACCAUACUCCCAUCAUUAUAUUUAAAGGGAGAUGUCAUAAAUAAAGGCUUAUGUUGCCCCUAGAAACUCAAAUACCUAUAAAUUCUAACUAGUUGAAUUAAAUGAAAGUUGUUAAAGGUGAAGGUUUUAAUAAUAUAAAAUUACAAUGGAUAAUUAGAUUUAUCUUUUUAAUUAAUU
rnacentral:lncRNA from 1 species